GGAUGAACGUUGGCGGUGUGCCUAAUACAUGCAAGUCGAACGGAGACUGUAGCAAUACUGUCUUAGUGGCGAACGGGUGAGUAACGCGUUGGUGAUCUGCCUCGAAGUGUGGAAUAACCUCCCGAAAGGGAAGCUAAUACCGCAUAGUCUCUCAAGGUUUAGAAAAUUGAGAGUAAAGGAUUUAUUCGCUUCGAGAGGAGCCUGCGUCCCAUCAGCUCGUUGGUAGGGUAACGGCCUACCAAGGCAAUGACGGGUAGGGGACCUGAGAGGGUGGCCCCCCACAAUGGAACUGAAACACGGUCCAUACACCUACGGGUGGCAGCAGUAGGGAAUAUUAGAAAUGGGCGGAAGCCUGAUCUAGCAACACCGCGUGUGCGAUGAAGGCCUUCGGGUCGUAAAGCACUUUUUGGAGGGAAUAGGAAGGAAGGUACCUCCAGAAUAAGUCUCGGCUAACUACGUGCCAGCAGCCGCGGUAACACGUAGGAGGCAAACGUUAUCCGGAUUCACUGGGCGUAAAGCGCGUGCAGGUGGUUCCGUAAGUAGGGCGUGAAAGCUCCCGGCUCAACUGGGAGAGGCCGUAUUAAACUGCGGAGCUAGAGGAUGGUAGAGGGAGGUGGAAUUCCAGGUGUAGUGGUGAAAUGCGCAGAUAUCUGGAGGAACACCAGUGGCGAAGGCGGCCUCCUGGACCAUUCCUGACACUCAGACGCGAAAGCUAGGGUAGCAAACGGAAUUAGAGACUCCGGUAGUCCUAGCCGUAAACGAUGUAGACUUGGCGUCGGUGGUUUAAUAUCCAUCGGUGUCGUAGCUAACGCGAUAAGUCUACCGCCUGGGGACUACGGCCGCAAGGUUAAAACUCAAAGGAAUUGACGGGUCCCCGCACAAGCAGCGGAGCGUGUGGUUUAAUUCGUUGCUACACGAAGAACCUUACCUGGGUUUGACAUAAAGGUGGUAGGGAGCCGAAAGGUGACCGACCCUUCGGGGAGCCUUUACAGGUGUUGCAUGGCUGUCGUCAGCUCGUGUCGUGAGACGUUCGGUUAAGUCCGCUAACGAGCGCAACCCUUACUGUUAGUUGCCAUCGGGUAAAGCCGGGGACUCUAGCGGGACUGCCACCGUAAGGUGAGAGGAAGGUGGGGAUGACGUCAAAUCAGCACGGCCCUUAUGUCCAGGGCUACACACGUGUUACAAUGGCCGGUACAAAGGGCAGCUACACCGCGAGGUGAUGCUAAUCUCGAAACCCGGUCUCAGUUCGGAUCGAAGUCUGCAACCCGACUUCGUGAAGUUGGAUUCGCUAGUAAUCGCGCAUCAGCCACGGCGCGGUGAAUACGUUCCCGGGCCU
rnacentral:rRNA from 1 species